rnacentral:rRNA from 1 species
UAACGCGUGAGUAACCUGCCUCUAAGGGGGGAAGUAACAUUCUGAAAAGAAUGCUAAUACCGCAUAACAUAUAUUUAUCGCAUGGUAGAUAUAUCAAAGAUUUAUCGCUUAGAGAUGGACUCGCGUCCGAUUAGUUAGUUGGUGAGGUAACGGCUCACCAAGACCGCGAUCGGUAGCCGGACUGAGAGGUUGAACGGCCACAUUGGGACUGAGACACGGCCCAG